rnacentral:rRNA from 1 species
GGCCAGACUCCUACGGGAGGCAGCAGUGGGGAAUAUUGGACAAUGGGGGGAACCCUGAUCCAGCGACGCCGCGUGAGUGAAGAAGUAAUUCGUUAUGUAAAGCUCUAUCAGCAGGGAAGAAAAUGACGGUACCUGAAGAAGAGGCCCCGGCUAACUACGUGCCAGCAGCCGCGGUAAUACGUAGGGGGCAAGCGUUAUCCGGAUUUACUGGGUGUAAAGGGGGCGCAGACGGCGAUGCAAGCCAGGAGUGAAAGCCCGGGGCCCAACCCCGGGACUGCUCUUGGAACUGCGUGGCUAGAGUGCAGGAGGGGCAGGCGGAAUUCCUGGUGUAGCGGUGAAAUGCGUAGAUAUCAGGAGGAACACCGGUGGCGAAGGCGGCCUGCUGGACUGCAACUGACGUUGAGGCCCGAAAGCGUGGGGAGCAAACAGGAUUAGAUACCCCAGUAUC